rnacentral:snRNA from 1 species
AUUGCUUCUCAGCCUUUUGGCUAAGAUCAAGUG